rnacentral:rRNA from 1 species
GAUGAACGCUGGCGGCGUGCCUAAUACAUGCAAGUCGAACGAGGUGCUUUGUAGCAAUACGAAGUAUCCUAGUGGCGAACGGGUGAGUAACGCGUUGGUGACCUACCCCAAAGUGUGGGAUAACAGUCCGAAAGGAUUGCUAAUACCGCAUGUGGUCUCUGGGUUUAGAAACCGGUGACUAAAGGAGCAAUUCGCUUUGGGAGGGACCUGCGUCCCAUCAGCUAGUUGGUGAGGUAACGGCUCACCAAGGCGACGACGGGUAGGGGACCUGAGAGGGUGGCCCCCCACAAUGGAACUGAAACACGGUCCAUACACCUACGGGUGGCAGCAGUAGGGAAUAUUGGUCAAUGGGCGAAAGCCUGAACCAGCAACGCCGCGUGUGCGAUGAAGGCCUUCGGGUCGUAAAGCACUUUUCUGGGAGAUGAGAAUGGACAGUAUCCCAGGAAUAAGUCUCGGCUAACUACGUGCCAGCAGCCGCGGUAAAACGUAGGAGGCGAGCGUUAUCCGGAUUCACUGGGCGUAAAGCGCGUGCAGGUGGCUUGGUAAGUUAGGCGUGAAAUCUCCCGGCUCAACUGGGAGAGGUCGCCUAAUACUACCGGGCUUGAGAGCAGAAGAGGAAGAUGGAAUUCCCGGUGUAGUGUGAAAUGCGUAGAUAUCGGGAGGAACACCAGUGGCGAAGGCGAUCUUCUGGUCUGUUUCUGACACUCAGACGCGACAGCUAGGGUAGUAAACGGGA